AAAUCGGUUGCCGAUCGUGGCACGUUCUCGAGAGGGAGUAAGUCCUGAGGACGCGGAUGGCUCCUACUUAUAAAGACUUGGCCAAGUCUUGGCUCUCCAAUUGGCUUCCAGGUAAGUCGCAGUGUUUACGAUGAUAAGCGUGACGAAACAGAAUCUCGUCAUAAAUCUGGAGUGACAAGAAGCAGAGCCGUCUGAUCGUUACAAAUCAUGCCCGUCCUCGAAGCUGCAUCUGCAUACUUUUCUUUUUUUUUUCUUUUGUUCUUCGCUUCUUCUCCUUUUUUUACGAAACAUUAUUUUUCCAUGAGAGUUCCACACAUUAACUGGUUCCAUUAUUAAUAUCUCAAUCGAUAUAUGAUCUGGAAAAAAAUUCGAUGCCUAUCGAAUCAGUCGUUAUUUUAUUUUUCGAAUCAUUUGUUCGUUUAUGGAAACAUUAAAGUUAGAAUAAUAUUUAAUUUGACAAAUCAACCGUUGAUAACGAGUAAGAAUUCUAUAUAAAUAUAUAUAUAUAUAUAUGAUAUAUAUACGAUAUAACUUUAUUUCCUUGUUUGUUUCCAGUUUAAAUCACGUAAAAAAUCCUUUUCUCAAAAUUUUUAUUUCUAGAACAAAUUUUCGUAAUACUUUUUCGUAAACAUUUGUAAUUAUUCGAUUAAUUAAGUCAAUUUCAUUUGAAAAAAUUCUGGCAUAUUGAUUUGUAGAUUUAUUUAGGAAUUAAGAAAUAAAUCUUGACAUAUUUUAAUCGUUGAGAUAUGUAAAAAAAAUACAAUGUUUCUCAAAAAAUUAAUCUCUCAAAAAAUUUGAUCGAUGAUGAUAAAACGUAUCUUAAGCAAUAUAAUUUAUACAGAUAUUAAAUGGAAAGAUCCGAAGACGUAGCCCGUUUUUUUGUGCUAAUUUGGUUAUAUUAUUUUAACUUUAAAAUUUUUUUAAAAAACAUUUGAUCAAACGUUUGAAAUGAAAAAUUAAGUUGAAGAAGAAAAAAUUGAAAAAAGAGUAAAAUAAAUAAAGAUUAUUAUAAGUAAAA